rnacentral:rRNA from 1 species
AGCAGCCGCGGUAAUUCCAGCUCCAAUAGCGUAUAUUAAAGUUGUUGCAGUUAAAAAGCUCGUAGUUGAAUUUCGGGAUUGACGUGAUGGUCGUGCCUUAAGGGGUAUGAACUGUUGCAGUUGAUUUCUCACCUUCUGGAAAAACCUUGAUGUCCUUUAUUGGGUGUCUUGCGGAUCCAGGACCUUUACCUUGAAAAAAUUUAGAGUGUUUAAAGCAGGCAUUUUUGCUCGAAUACAUUAGCAUGGAAUAAUAGAAUAGGACGGCAUGGUUCUAUUUUGUUGGUUUCUAGGAUCACCGUAAUGAUUAAUAGGGAUAGUUGGGGGCAUUAGUAUUCAAUUGUCAGAGGUGAAAUUCUUGGAUUUAUUGAAGACUAACUACUGCGAAAGCAUUUGCCAAGGNUGUUUUCAUAAUCAAGAACGAAAGUUAGGGGAUCGAAGACGAUCAGAUACCGUCGUAGUCUUAACCAUAAACUAUGCCGACUAGGAAUC